rnacentral:sRNA from 1 species
UGAAGAGGUAUUCAAGUUAUAAAAUGCGGCUCGUGAAAUAAAUAAACAGAAAAUUUUGAUUAUUCGUUUAUGUAUAUGAAUAGUGGGACAUGAGUGAGUUUAUGUAUCGUAUAUAUGUAUAUGAAUGAAGGACUUGUAUAAGAAAAUGUCGCGGAAAAGUGAAAACUCCAACAAUUUCUAAGCAAAUAUUUAUACAACGUGAAUAAAGUAUGUCAGCUGAAAACGUGAAAAAAUUCCAACAAUCUCUUUUAUGUGUUCAGAUGGUACUCACAUAAUUGGAUAUACCAUGAAAAUAUUGUUUGUGCUAUACAGCAAAACAGUUAAAACGUCGAUUUUCAGUUUCAUUCAUAUUUUUAUGCUUAGGAGAACGCAUUGUGUAAACAAAGAUUUGUGAAGCUGUUGACGAGGAAAGUAUGCUCUAGAAAAUUAUGACUGAGCUACAACAUUGAAAUUUGGAAUACAGGUAUCAGAUCACUAGAAGAUUUGGAAAACUUGGCGG